UACGAAAGGGGCUAGUGUUAUUCGGUCAAAUUGGGCGUAAAGGAUUCUAAAGCAGUUUUUUGAACGUUAAAAUUUAAAUGUCAAACUUAAAUUUUGGAAUAAAUUUUAAAACUAAAUUUCUGGAGUAGUUUAAGGGUUAAUAGUAUUUCUUCAAUAAGGUUCAUAUCUGUUAAUAGAAGAGAGAGGACCUAGGGCAAAGGCAAUUAACUAUUUUCUUACUAACGCUGAUGGAUUAAAGUAUAGGGAGCAAACAGG
rnacentral:rRNA from 1 species